rnacentral:lncRNA from 1 species
UAAAUUUGUGGGAUCUAAUAAAGAGGGAUUAAGCACGCCUCACAUUCUAAAAUUGCUGUGGAGAGUGAAGAAAUUAUAUUGUUCUUUGUUUUUUCCUUUUUAGAAUAUUCCUCGAAUUGAGAAGUUUUCAGUAAUAUAUUUUUUUGAUUUAUUAAUUGUUGUGUCUUGACGAGUUGUGUAAGACACAAGCUAUAAUCAACAAGUAUCCAGGACAAUCGAGGAAGAACGUGGAGAAAUAAGACAAAGAACAAUAAGAAGAGGAGAGAAGAAAUUUCAUGCACUACAAAAUAAUAAAUCUAUAAUUUUAGAUACGACAGUCAAUGAUUGUCAGAGGUGAGAAAUUGCACUCUAUACUUGCGACUCAAUAUCAAAGAUUCGAAGCAUGCCUUGGACUCCAAAGCUAGUAUAUUGCAGACUCGGGGGGAAAAGCUUUAACACAUUCCUCAAUCUGGCAAAAGGUGAAAUAUGAAUUGGGCAUCUUCUGAAUCAAGACGCAGUAAAUAAUUGAAUUAA